rnacentral:rRNA from 1 species
AUGAAACGGACAGAGUUAAUUCUGAGAGUAAAUUAGGCACAAUUAGCACCGAUCCACCAAGAACAGAACAGAAGAGGGCAGGGGAGGAGCUCAAAGAGUGUGAUCCUUUCCGUUCCGUUCCUUCGCGAGCCGUCGCUCAACCAAGCGAGCAAAAAUUACAACAUACUAGCACCGAGGACGAGCUACUCCGGACAAUUGAUUAAUAGUACGCCGCCGUCGCAUGCUCUACGCGGCGGAGCGGAUCGGCUCACUCGCUCACUCCGACGACGGUGCUGCGGCGGCCGAGGCGGAGGCCAUCCGGGGCGAGGUGACGGGGAACAGCGGCAGCAGGCGCGGCGGGGGCUCGCCGGCGCCGCCCCGGGGCGACGGGUGCAGGAAGAAGCCCUUCCGCGCGAUGGCCGCGCGCUCCGCGGCCGCCUCCUGCUCCGCCGGGGACGCCGACGCGGACCGGUUGAAGGGGUCGGACACCAGCGGCGUGACGGGGCUGAGCGCCAGCGACGGGAAGUCGAGCACGCUGGGCGACAGCAGCUCCGGCAGCGCCUUCCUCGGCGACGCCCCCGCGGCGGCCGCCAUGGCGAGCGGCGCGAUCAUCUUGAGGUUCUUCAUGCUGCUCCGGCGCUCGUAGAGCUUGAAAGCCGGCUUCUUGGGCCGGCACGGGGCGCCGGCCUUGCUGUUGGCGGCCGCGGGGGGCCUCUGGGCCUGGGCCUGCGGCUGCAAGGACGGCGCCGGCGGCGGCAUGUCGGCGCCGGUGAGCAUCUGGACGACCUGCUUGAAGGAGGCGGUGUCGGCCUGGACGAAGGUGGUGGGGAAGGGGGUGGUGUCGAUGGUGCGCGGCACGGGCCUCGGGGACGGCGGCAGCGGGCUGGGGCGGUGGUGGGAGGGCGACGCGGCGGAGGACGGCGAGGAGGAGGAGGUGGAGGAGGACGGGGAGUUGGGGUCCCGCGGCGCCAUGGGGAGGAGUUGCUUGGGCGCGGCAACUUCCAUUGUUGGUUGGUUGGUUUCGUCGGGGAUGGAUGAAGGAGGGAGGAAGGGGGGAAGGGGCUGGGUUCAGGGACGGCAGAGGGAGUGGGAAUAAGAAGGGG